rnacentral:tRNA from 1 species
CAGCAAAUAUUUUAAUUAAAAUAUUAAUUUUGGGGAUUAAAGAUGAGAUUAUUUUUUCUUUGCUGA